rnacentral:sRNA from 1 species
GUACAGGUGACCGUAUCCUGAGCCCCGGGCAGAGGCAGGACCGAGCCGCAAUCCGAACAGAAAUCCAAGUCCGACUGAAAGCUGGAGCAAGUACUGGCGACGUCCAUGACAGACAUGCGGUCAGGUCUGAGGAGGGAGUUGGAAGUUUAUUAACAAAAGAAGAGUUCCUGUCCCAGGACCUAGGAGUAUAUAACCCGAGCCCUCCUCCCACGCACGCCUCCUGCCUCUGCGACCAAGGAGCCGAAACGCCCGGAAUUACCAGACAGCGUCGGGUACUAAAGGACUUGGAACCCUUUCCAGGGGCCGGCGAGAGGAGUUAAUCAACUCCGUGGACUAGGGCGCCAGCUCUGCGCCCGCGGCGGGGCAGCGAGAUAGAGCCGGCUAGAGCGUCAGGCUUUAGCGCUGACGAUUGGCUGUGACGUCAUAAUUAAUUGCGAACCGUGUCUCGGGAGCCUUAGAGAUGGAGACUGACGUGUUCCAAGGGAGAUUGCGGCUCCACUUUCACCCUGGUACUGAGCAGUUGAGCACAAAAUUGGUAACCAAUGCUGCGCUUCCAGCAAAUUUUCCCACCAGCACCCAAUCCUGGGAUAUUUAUUCUCUUUGUCUCACAUCCUACAGGAACGCAGUCGCGGGGUAUAUCCCCCUGAAAAGCGUACUUUGCCGAAUAAUGAUUUCUUUGGAUUAGAGAACUACAACUCCCCUGGGUCCUGAGCCGGUAUUUCCCUUUUGCGGCUGCACAGUAGUUAAAAACAAAGCUAAGUGUUCUGGGACGUAUAGUUCUAGCAUUCCUUGGGUCCCGCUGGCGAGCGUGGGCUUUCUGCAGAGCGCAACCGGCCUCGUGUGCUUUGUGGACGGUUCACCGCGCUUGGAAAGGGAUUGGCCUGGGGUACAUCAUCUAAAGAUCCUAGGAUUGCUGCAGGUCAGCAGUCUCCACUGGAAAAAAAGAUCUUGCAUGUAUUUCAAGUCCUUUGAUGAAUCAUGUGAUCUACUAGACCCUGAAGAUACAGUGAAGAGCAAAAGAACACGGAUGAAAUGAGAAACAAAAAUGAUGGAGAAAACCGAAAAAGGGGACACAUGGGAUCCAGGCAAUAGGAGAGCCAGCAUAAGAGAGAGGCAGAGGGAUGCCCAGGAUGAGGUGAAGACGAUCCUGGAAAUCAGCCCAGAUGUGCAUGCACCAGCCCACGUGUGGCAGGACCAAGGGAAGUGUCUUCACAAAGAUGAGCCUUUGAUUUGUUGGAGAAACUGUUACCAGAAAAACAGGUCCCGAUCCUGACCUCAAAAGAGUAUUCUUGGAUCUUGCACAGGAAGGAAUUAAAGAUCUAGCUCUGUCUCCUCAGUAAAUGUUCUAGGCUCUGACUGCAAGUGCUGACUUGGGCUCCCAGCCCCACACAGCCCCUCUGUUCCAUGAAAGGGCCAUCUAUGCAAAGUGCCCCCCAAAUGCCAAAGGAGCCAAUAAACCAAGGAACAAGACA